AAUUCAGAUUUACACUUUCCCUAUGUAUUAGCACGAAAUGUUUCAGGCAUACUGAACUCAACUGAGUCCUGACUAGUAGUGGAAGGUACUAAAAUAAAGAGCUGCGUAUGGUAGAUUCUCACAUUAUUACAACAGUGUCAUCUAACAACUCUUCCCUUAAAACUUCGUCCCGGGCUACUGCCUGAGUCAUAAGUCAACAUACAGUAUGGUCUUCAGUCUGUUAGGCAACUUCUCCAGAACAGGAUGUGGUUCUUCCUUGAGGUGACAGGUUACGUACUGCAAGUUUUUUCAUGUCUAUUGAAAACAUCUCAUUUGCUGCCAAGCUAUAUGUAAGGAAAAGAAGCCCAGUCUGCCCUCAGAGGCUCCUUGGAGACUGAAACCAGAGAAUGGCCGGACAUACACACACUAUGAAAAGUCUAAAUUAAACAAUGGCUUUACAAGAGCACCUUCCCAUGUGACUUUGAAUCAGAGUAAAGGGAAGUUCACAAAAUCAAAGCGGUAAAAUGGAUCUUUAUUUGGAAAGUACUCAUUAACUCAGCAAAGCCUAGCUGUAAGAAUUAGAUCUGUGAGGAAAAUCCUCCUGGCAAUGAAACCAGGGCUUUGAUUGCUACUAGUUCAUAAAAUAAAUAAUAAUGUCCACUUACAAUUCUAUAUUACCUUUCAAUUUACAAAGUGCUUUCUCAUACAUUAUUUUAUCUUUGCAACAUUCUUGUGAGGUAUUGAGACAUGAUUAUUCUUUCACGGGUUAAGAAAUUGAGACUCAGUGAGCAGACAGGAUUUCCUCAAGGCCACAGAGUUAUUAAGAAGCAGAAUCCAAACUGAGAUGUUGGUCUCCAGACACCCACUUCAGAGCUCUUGCUCUAUUGCCUCUAAAACACCUCUAAUUAGGAGACUGUCACAAUGGAUUAUCUGAAAAAGCACAUGAGAGUUGUAAAGCCCUGACCGUGUUUGACACAAAUGUUAUGCGUCACCAGCAUGACCAGACAGUCAUCAAAUCAAUCAAUAAUUGCUGGCAAGGUUCACUGCAAGGACCAAGGAAGGUGGUUGAAGAUGAAUGGUGGUGAGUUGCUGGUCAUUUGCUGACAAAAGUCAGCUUGCAGAAUUUAGUCUAAUAGAUGCUGAAAGCAAAAGGAGAGAAUUCAUCUAGCCCCAGAAGUGUCAGUGAGGAAAGACAAUCUACAAACCCUGAAUGAUCACAAACGCUGAGUUGAAAAAGAGAUUUCUCUUUAUUUCAGGAUGAAUAAAGAAAAAAAUUAAGGCUAUAAAUUAGUGCAGAAAUAGGAAAAAGGAACAUCACCUGGAAGACUUCAAAAGAGAUCAUUCUCUAGAAAUAAUUCUGUUUCACUCAAUGUUUAACUUUUAAAAUAUCAGUGAAAUCAUGAUUUCAAUCAAAUGGCAGUGUGAAACUUACAAACAAGCCUAAAUAGACUUAAAAGACCAGAAAUAAAAAGAAAAUUUUAUUUUAAAAACUAGUCAUUAAAAAUAAUUCUCCAGAGUUAACCUAUUGUAUGGUGCAUUCUUUUAAGAAAUAGAUAUUUGCCACACUAUAUAAACAAUUCCAGGAUGCAUAAAAGACACAAAUCCUCCUCAUUUAUUGAUCUUUUACAAAGCUGACAUAAUCUGACACUAAACCACACAAACCACACACACACACAACCACUGAUACUGAUACAGUUACUGACAAU